UGGGGAAUUUUGGACAAUGGGCGAAAGCCUGAUCCAGCAAUGCCGCGUGUGUGAAGAAGGCCUUCGGGUUGUAAAGCACUUUUGUCCGGAAAGAAAUCCUUGGCUCUAAUACAGUCGGGGGAUGACGGUACCGGAAGAAUAAGCACCGGCUAACUACGUGCCAGCAGCCGCGGUAAUACGUAGGGUGCAAGCGUUAAUCGGAAUUACUGGGCGUAAAGCGUGCGCAGGCGGUUUGCUAAGACCGAUGUGAAAUCCCCGGGCUCAACCUGGGAACUGCAUUGGUGACUGGCAGGCUAGAGUAUGGCAGAGGGGGGUAGAAUUCCACGUNUAGCAGUGAAAUGCGUAGAGAUGUGGAGGAAUACCGAUGGCGAAGGCAGCCCCCUGGGCCAAUACUGACGCUCAUGCACGAAAGCGUGGGGAGCAAACAGGAUUAGAUACCCUGGUAGUCCACGCCCUAAACGAUGUCAACUGGUUGUUGGGGAUUCAUUUCCUUAGUAACGUAGCUAACGCGUGAAGUUGACCGCCUGGGGAGUACGGUCGCAAGAUU
rnacentral:rRNA from 1 species